rnacentral:rRNA from 1 species
UACGCAGGGGGCGAGCGUUGUCCGGAUUCAUUGGGCGUAAAGCGCGGGCAGGCGGCCUGGUAAGUCGGCCGUGAAAGCGCCGGGCUCAACUCGGCGAGGUCGGGCGAGACUGCGAGGCUAGAGGCUGGUAGAGGGCGGUGGAAUUCCGGGUGUAGUGGUGGAAUGCGUAGAGCUCCGGAGGAACACCAGUGGCGAAGGCGGCCGCCUGGGCCAGUCCUGACGCUGAGCCGCGAAAGCGUGGGGAGCGAACAGG